GUCUUCACUUCAGCAGCAUUUACACUAAAACUGAAACAUACAGAGAAGAUUGGCAUGGUCCCUGUGCAAAGGAUGACAUGAACAUUUGUGAACUGUUCUAUAUUUUU
ensembl:snRNA U6 U6 spliceosomal RNA